rnacentral:rRNA from 3 species
UGAGGCGUUGAGCUAACCAAUACUAAUUGCCCGUGAGGCUUGACCAUAUAACACCCAAGCAAUU